rnacentral:rRNA from 1 species
UACGAGAGGCCCAAACGUUAUUCGGAAUUACUGGGCUUAAAGAGUUCGUAGGCGGCGCAGCAAGUAGGGUGUGAAAGCCCUCGGCUCAACCGAGGAAUUGCGCUCUAAACUACUGUGCUUGAGGGACCUAGAGGUGAGCGGAACUGAUGGUGGAGCGGUGAAAUGCGUUGAUAUCAUCAGGAACACCGGAGGCGAAGGCGGCUCACUGGGGGUCUUCUGACGCUGAGGAACGAAAGCCAGGGGAGCGAACGGG